rnacentral:rRNA from 1 species
CUACGGGUUGCAGCAGUGGGGAAUUUUGCGCAAUGGGGGAAACCCUGACGCAGCAAUACCGCGUGAGUGAAGAAGGCCCUUGGGUCGUAAAGCUCUUUUCUUGGGGAAGAUAGUGACGGUACCCAAGGAAUAAGCACCGGCUAACUCCGUGCCAGCAGCCGCGGUAAUACGGAGGGUGCAAGCGUUGUUCGGAUUUACUGGGCGUAAAGGGCACGUAGGCGGCACAGCAAGUUAAGGGUGAAAUCCCGGGGCUCAACUCCGGAACUGCUCUUAAAACUGCUGAGCUAGAGAUAGUCAGAGGCGGGUGGAAUUCCAGGUGUAGAGGUGAAAUUCGUAGAUAUCUGGAGGAACACCGGUGGCGAAGGCGGCCCGCUGGGGCUAUUCUGACGCUAAGGUGCGAAAGCGUGGGGAGCAAACGGGAUUAGAUACCCCAGUAGUC